GUAUUCUUUUUCUCUAUAAAAUUUUUAAUUUUAUAUGGGAAAGUUUUGCGGAUUUUGGGUUAUUAAAAAAACCCAAUUCUGUUAAAUCUAUAGUCAUUUUUUUUAUAGUCAAUGUUUGAACUCUCUAUAAAAACUUUGCAGAAAUGUAUUUGAAUGAACCUACCAGUUCUCCUUAUACAAAUUACGCAGAGAGAGAUUAGUUUUCUAUAAAAGAUAAUGCCCAUAACCAUUAAAAAAGUAGAUCGUUAGAUUUAUUUUUUGAA
rnacentral:misc_RNA from 1 species